rnacentral:rRNA from 1 species
CUGAAUCAGUGUGUGUGUUAGUGGAAGCGUCUGGAAAGGCGCGCGAUACAGGGUGACAGCCCCGUACACAAAAAUGCACAUGCUGUGAGCUCGAUGAGUAGGGCGGGACACGUGGUAUCCUGUCUGAAUAUGGGGGGACCAUCCUCCAAGGCUAAAUACUCCUGACUGACCGAUAGUGAACCAGUACCGUGAGGGAAAGGCGAAAAGAAC